UCCGGUUUGUCACCGGCAGUCUCCUUAGAGUUCCCGCCAUUACGCGCUGGCAACUAAGGACAAGGGUUGCGCUCGUUGCGGGACUUAACCCAACAUCUCACGACACGAGCUGACGACAGCCAUGCAGCACCUGUCUCACGGUUCCCGAAGGCACCCGCCCAUCUCUGGGCAGUUCCGUGGAUGUCAAGGCCAGGUAAGGUUCUUCGCGUUGCAUCGAAUUAAACCACAUACUCCACCGCUUGUGCGGGCCCCCGUCAAUUCCUUUGAGUUUCAGUCUUGCGACCGUACUCCCCAGGCGGCGAACUUAACGCGUUAGCUUCGACACUGAGAGUGUCAAACCCCCAACAACCAGUCGACAUCGUUUAGGGCGUGGACUAC
rnacentral:misc_RNA from 1 species